rnacentral:miRNA from 1 species
GUGAGUAAUGGGAGAGGGUCC